ensembl:lncRNA
CCUCUUCUCUCCACUGGGACCCAAGUCAUCUGUGGAAGUGGGAUGCUGGGUUGCGGCCAGGUGCAUGUGGCCAGUGCCAUCUGAGGACAGUGAGAAGGCCCUGUCUCUGAUCAGGCCACAGACCUAGGCCUGAUACCAAGCUGCCAGCAACGGGUCCUGCACUCCCAGCCUCCAGAUGCUGGUGCGUGGUAGAAGUGGGUUUUCUGCCCCAUCGAAGCCAGAUGUGCAACCACCGGGUUGAGUGCUUUGCCUGGCUGCCUUCACAGAGCAGAAGGGGACUGAGGCCUCGAAAGCACAAACUGGCCGUCCAUUCUCACUUCUUUAUCCUUAGCAGCUCGCCUGGCAUACAGUAGGAACCUAAUUAUUGAAUCAGCU